ensembl:lncRNA
GGUUGGCCCACUGCACUCGCAGAGUCCACUUUAUCUGCCCUUUGCUCUUACUAAACUCACUCCCUUCUGAAAUGCUCUGUCUAGAAAUUCUUUUCCAACCCACACUCUGGCUGUCUCAACAGAGAAGACGACACACCUCAGCCGGUUCGUCCCGUAAACAACCUGCUCCAGAGGGCGGGCGCGUGCCCAGCUCACACGUGGAGCCUAACCCUGGGUGGGGAAAGCAGGCCUCAGGGCAGUAACACAAGAGACAGUGGAGCCAAUUACUGGGCUAAGGAAGCCAAGACACCCCCAGCACCUGUGAAACUGGCAUCCAGACCACAGUAAGAAGGUUAUUUUGAGGCACCAGCCUGCCAUCUUCUCAGUCGGCCAGCUCCCCAGUUAGAGUCUCUUCCUUGCCUCAACACCUCGUCUCUCGGAUUCAUUGACCUGACCUGCAGCAAGCAGAAGGAGCUUGGACUCGGUAACAAUCUUUCCAGAACGAAAGCCAUGGUACAAUACACAAAAGCCAAUGGAUCCAGCUACUGGGUUGCCAGACAGCCAGACCCAAUCCCCUGCUACCUGACACCAGCCCGUGACCCUGCAAGACCAACUCCAGAGGAGGAAGAACACAAGAUCCUUACGCCACUGAUUUUCAUCACUGCCCUCUGACCACGCGCCCUCAUCUGUAUGAUCCCCCAGACUCCUCAUGGAGGGGGCUCCAGCUCCUGAGGACACGUGCCUGCUGAGUCUCCCCUCUGCUGGCUGGGGACUAAAGCCACCUUUCCGUCUCCUCCAAACUCUGUCUCUGUAUUUUUCGUUUGGCUUCGGUGCACAGACAAGGCCAAGAUGUUGGUGGCAUCACACUCAUCACUAGAUGAUGCUGAGAGCAAAGCUUUGGUGCCAGGAGACCAGCUGCACACCGAGUGUUCACACUGCAUACGUGUGACCAACUUGAGAAGCCUCACGGCUGCAUGGCCGCGCCUUCGGGUCAUUUCACUGCCGCACCACACCCUUGGCCUGUACAGAGCUCAUACACAUUUAAGUCGACUCCCAGGACCCUUGGAGUUGACGUUUUCUCUGAAAACAAUUGAAAAAUGAGCAUGUUGCCGUGGGUUGCUGCGAGCACCAGGGCCUGGUGCACCCAGCUGGGCUGCCAGGCAGGCCUGCAGGGAAGGCAUGUUCCCCUCCGGCUGAUUCCGAGCUGUCAGCAGACACGUGACUCCUGCUCACACGCCCCGGGCGGGAAGUCCUGCCUGCUGUGGGCCGGCCCUGAGGUCUGGGAAGGGGUGGCUCCUGUGCGUCCACCGCUGCGGACAGGGAGGGCGGCGGUGAUUUCUGCUGCUUCAGAAAGUGGGGCCCUUUGCAGUCUGCCCGGGAGGGGAGGCCCGAUUCUGCUUGUUGUCCUGCACCCCUCCUCUGGGGACGGCAGGAAGCCCGGCCUCUCCCCUUUUCUGGCCUUGGUGGGCUUCCUUUGCAGACAGCUCCCUUUGUUUGGAGUUCGAGGCAGAAGGAGAGGAAAAGGUCAAGUGGCUGUGAGCAGAAAGGGUUGCAGUGAGAAGCAGAAAAAGAGGAAGGAGCUUUUCUCUUUCCUGAGAGCAAAGAUGAUAAAGAGAGCACUGCACAGGCCUGAACAUGUCUAGUUUUUUUUUUUUUUUUUCCUUU